rnacentral:rRNA from 1 species
AUGGCUGAAGCUACUACUCUUCGCUUUGGUCUGAAUCUUGCCCAAUCAUUCGAGUCAUUCGGAUGCUCUAGGUUAAUCAUCAAUUCUGAUAAUUCUGAUGUGAUUGUUGCAAUGCAAGAUGGUGGUACUUUCUCGGGAUUGACUGCUGCUAUUUUCGACGAUUGUUAUCAUAUGGUUCACGAUCUAUCACAAAUCCACUACGAACACUGUCAUAGAGAAGGAAAUUCUGUAGCACAUGAACUGGCAAGGAUUGCUAGAUUUUCUCCACCUGGUACUUGGUUUAAUGAGGCACCUAAUGCCAUUUCCCCUAUGCUUGUAAAUUAUGCUACUUUGAUUACCACUUAA